GGAAUUGACGGGGACCCGCACAAGCGGUGGAUGAUGUGGAUUAAUUCGAUGCAACGCGAAAAACCUUACCUACCCUUGACAUGUACGGAAUCCUGCUGAGAGGUGGGAGUGCUCGAAAGAGAACCGUAACACAGGUGCUGCAUGGCUGUCGUCAGCUCGUGUCGUGAGAUGUUGGGUUAAGUCCCGCAACGAGCGCAACCCUUGUCCUUAGUUGCUACGCAAGAGCACUCUAAGGAGACUGCCGGUGACAAACCGGAGGAAGGUGGGGAUGACGUCAAGUCCUCAUGGCCCUUAUGGGUAGGGCUUCACACGUCAUACAAUGGUCGGUACAGAGGGCUGCCAAACCGCGAGGUGGAGCUAACCCCAGAAAACCGAUCGUAGUCCGGAUCGCAGUCUGCAACUCGACUGCGUGAAGCUGGAAUCGCUAGUAAUCGCGGAUCAGCAUGUCGCGGUGAAUACGUUCCCGGGUCUUGUACACACCGCCCGUCACACCAUGGGAGUGGGUUUUGCCAGAAGUAGGUAGCCUAACC
rnacentral:rRNA from 1 species